UGGGAGUGUGGUGGCGUUUGGGGGAGGUUUUACUUGUGCAUUUUCGGCUAGAGGGAAUUUCGUAGCAUUUUUCGACAUUUUGGUGAGUUUGGAUGACCAAUUUUGCUCUGUGUCUUUUGGAGUUUUUCUUGAGUUUUUUUUCUUUUUCUUUUGCGCCGACAUUGAAGCUGGCCAUUCGUGCAUUUUCGAUUUUUUUUACUUGCAAUUGACUAUUUUCCUUCUAGCAUAUUUGCACUUACAUCUACAGAAGCCGUCUUUCUUCUUCCUUUUCUUUUUCUUUAAGGACGAACCUAUCACCCUAG
rnacentral:lncRNA from 1 species